UACGGAGGGUGCAAGCGUUGUUCGGAUUUACUGGGCGUAAAGGGCGCGUAGGCGGCCACCGCAAGUCGACUGUGAAAUCUCUGGGCUUAACCCAGAACGGUCAGCCGAUACUGCGGGGCUAGAGUGCAGAAGGGGCAACUGGAAUUCUCGGUGUAGCGGUGAAAUGCGUAGAUGUCGAGAGGAACACCUGCGGCGAAGGCGGGUUGCUGGGCUGACACUGACGCUGAGGCGCGAAAGCCAGGGGAGCAAACGGG
rnacentral:rRNA from 1 species